rnacentral:rRNA from 1 species
AUGUCCAGCUUCGCCUCCCAGCUCCGGGACGUGUUCUACGACCUCGUCGAGCGCGUCACCGGCUACAGCGCCCGCGCCGAGGACGACAAGGCGCAUGGAGAUCUACAGAAGCACAGCAUGUUGGCAACUACGGAGGCUUUCCGGACGACGGAGGAAGUUGUCGAGAUCAGGUCCAGAAAUCACCCGGAUGUGCCAGGAGGGUCAGGCGCCCAGGUCAAUUAA